UACGGGGGGGGGCAAGCGUUGUUCGGAAUUACUGGGCGUAAAGGGCUCGUAGGCGGCCAACUAAGUCGGAUGUGAAAUCCCCAGGCUCAACCUGGGAACUGCAUCCGAUACUGGAUGGCUUGAAUCCGGGAGAGGGAUGCAGAAUUCCAGGUGUAGCGGUGAAAUGCGUAGAUAUCUGGAGGAACACCGGUGGCGAAGGCGGGUCUCUGGGCAACAACUGACGCUGAGGAGCGAAAGCGUGGGGAGCGAACAGG
rnacentral:rRNA from 1 species